CGCAGAUGAACGCGGGCGGCGUGCCUAAUACAUGCAAGUCGAGCGAACAGACGAGGAGCUUGCUCCUCUGACGUAGCGGCGGACGGGUGAGUAACACGUGGAUAACCUACCUAUAAGACUGGGAUAACUUCGGGAAACCGGAGCUAAUACCGGAUAAUAUAUUGAACCGCAUGGUUCAAUAGUGAAAGACGGUUUUGCUGUCACUUAUAGAUGGAUCCGCGCCGCAUUAGCUAGUUGGUAAGGUAACGGCUUACCAAGGCAACGAUGCGUAGCCGACCUGAGAGGGUGAUCGGCCACACUGGAACUGAGACACGGUCCAGACUCCUACGGGAGGCAGCAGUAGGGAAUCUUCCGCAAUGGGCGAAAGCCUGACGGAGCAACGCCGCGUGAGUGAUGAAGGUCUUCGGAUCGUAAAACUCUGUUAUUAGGGAAGAACAAAUGUGUAAGUAACUAUGCACGUCUUGACGGUACCUAAUCAGAAAGCCACGGCUAACUACGUGCCAGCAGCCGCGGUAAUACGUAGGUGGCAAGCGUUAUCCGGAAUUAUUGGGCGUAAAGCGCGCGUAGGCGGUUUUUUAAGUCUGAUGUGAAAGCCCACGGCUCAACCGUGGAGGGUCAUUGGAAACUGGAAAACUUGAGUGCAGAAGAGGAAAGUGGAAUUCCAUGUGUAGCGGUGAAAUGCGCAGAGAUAUGGAGGAACACCAGUGGCGAAGGCGACUUUCUGGUCUGUAACUGACGCUGAUGUGCGAAAGCGUGGGGAUCAAACAGGAUUAGAUACCCUGGUAGUCCACGCCGUAAACGAUGAGUGCUAAGUGUUAGGGGGUUUCCGCCCCUUAGUGCUGCAGCUAACGCAUUAAGCACUCCGCCUGAGACUCUACUUGG
rnacentral:rRNA from 2 species